rnacentral:rRNA from 1 species
UACAGAGGGUGCAAGCGUUAAUCGGAAUUACUGGGCGUAAAGCGUGCGUAGACGGUUGUCUAAGUCGGAUGUGAAAUCCCCGGGCUCAACCUGGGAAUUGCAUUCGAGACUGAACAGCUAGGGUGCGGAAGAGGGAAGCGGAAUUUCCGGUGUAGCAGUGAAAUGCGUAGAUAUCGGAAGGAACAUCAGUGGCGAAAGCGGCUUCCUGGUCCAGCACCGACGUUCAGGCACGAAAGCGUGGGGAGCAAACAGG